AGAGUUCGUCUGGGCUUCGGAGUUCAGAUCCUGAAGAUAGAGCACAAGAGCAUCAUUCCUGCGACACGGUCCUCGUCCCCGGGGAUUCCGAGAAGGGCUUCACCAGACGCAUCCCUCCCCACGACGGAGCCCAGGAUACACCGGAGACGACAGGAAAACAGGACUGUAGCUGCUAUAGAACUUGAAGCUGCUCUGGGGCUUACAGUACAGAUGUCUCAGAAUCUCCUCCUUGACAUGUGCGCUGACUUCAUUCCAGUAAGAAACCAAAUCCUCCUCCUACAGCGUUAGUUCCCUUUCCUCACUCUUUUUGUGAUAGU